rnacentral:lncRNA from 1 species
UGUGUCCUCGGGUAUUUGUUAAAGUAAAUUCGUAAAGAACCGCAAUUAACCAUGAGAUACAUCAUUCUAGCCGUGGUUGUCUUCAUGGUAUUGGUUGAUCAAACCGAGGGCCUACGAUGCGCUCCAUGCAAAUCUCGGAACUGUGCAAAGCCAACGGGAUGCCGAAAAAGGCACUAUGUUAAAGACCUUUGCGGGUGUUGUGAUGUAUGUCCCACUAAAUUCGGACAACCUUGCUCUGGAUUGAAACCAAGGUGCGCAAGGAAUAUGUGGUGUAUCAAGAUAGAUGGGAAUUCCGCCGAGGCCAAGAAAAAUUUAGUCUGGCAUGAUCGAUUCACCGGCGUAUGUGGAAGAAUUAGACUCCCCAGACAGUUUUGACCUGAUGUUAAAGUUGAACCCAGGCCUUGAACAAUAUGAAAGACUCAUCCUACAAAGUAAACAACAUACUUUGUCAUAUGUAUUGGACCAACUUAUUCAGUAAACUCAUUCUGAAUCUCUCAA